AAGAGGGAGGUGGUGAGGUGGCGAGGGCCGGCCGGCGUCUCCGUCCACUCGCCCGCCCGCCCUCACCAUGGCGGCUGCUCCACGCUCCUCUCCACCUCCUCUCUCUCUUUCUCUGCCUCCUGCCCUCUAUUCCUCCAUCUCUUCACCUCUCCUCUGCCUGUCCCAUCCCCAGGACAGCCAUGGACGCGUGCUGGCAAAUUCACUGACGGCCAACCUUUGUGGUGCAGUCUGUGCUGAAGUAACCUCUUCAAAUGUGGGGUCCUCGCUAAAAAUGCUUUUAAUGACACAUCAAUAUGAAGAAUAUAAUUACAAAGGAUGUUUGAUGGUAAAACUGCUGCACUUGUGGACAUGACGGAUGGUUUGCCUAAGCAGAUUCUUGGAUGUGCAGUUAGGAUCAUCUGUGCUGAUGAACAAAGUUUCCAUCAUUUGCAAAGUGCAGUUUCUCCUUAGUACCUGUAAAAUGCUUCGGGAACCUCUCUCAAAGGAAAGGUCAGAACCAGGAAUGCAGAAUGUCUGUUUAAUGCUGACCUGGGUUAAAAUGUCUGGUCCUGACUGAAAGAGGUUUUUAAUGACAUGUUGACCUGAAGAUUAUAAUCAUGAAAGAUGUUUGACUGAAGCUGCUGCACUUGUGGAAAUGAUGACGGAUGUUUUGCCUUGGCAGAUUACUGGAUGUGCACUUAGCAAGACACUUAGGACUGUGCUGAUGAACAAAAAUGUUGCUUGACCAUGGAGCUGCUGCGCCUGAUGAAGUGGCAUUGGGCAUCUCAAGACAUGCAGUUGGGACAACACUACUGAUGCAGAACAAAGGAUCUGCAGUUCUGACGUUGAAGGUACAAACAUUGGACGUCGUCAUUCCCAUUAUACUACUCGUGCCUUGACUGUCUGCUAACUGUCCACUACCCUGAAAGAUAUUCAUGGUUUAAUUGUAUUACAAAUGUCUGCAUCUUUCCUUUCAAGAACUUUUUUGUUUAGCAAUGUAAGACUUAAUAAAAAAAAUUAAAAUCG